GGGGUUCAGUAGCGGAGGAAUCUAGCGAGCCCACCUCCCACCCGUGUUUACUGUACCUUAGUUGCUUCGGCGGGCCCGCCAUUCAUGGCCGCCGGGGGCUCUCAGCCCCGGGCCCGCGCCCGCCGGAGACACCACGAACUCUGUCUGAUCUAGUGAAGUCUGAGUUGAUUGUAUCGCAAUCAGUUAAAACUUUCAACAAUGGAUCUCUUGGUUCCGGCAUCGAUGAAGAACGCAGCGAAAUGCGAUAACUAGUGUGAAUUGCAGAAUUCCGUGAAUCAUCGAGUCUUUGAACGCACAUUGCGCCCCCUGGUAUUCCGGGGGGCAUGCCUGUCCGAGCGUCAUUGCUGCCCAUCAAGCACGGCUUGUGUGUUGGGUCGUCGUCCCCUCUCCGGGGGGGACGGGCCCCAAAGGCAGCGGCGGCACCGCGUCCGAUCCUCGAGCGUAUGGGGCUUUGUCACCCGCUCUGUAGGCCCGGCCGGCGCUUGCCGAACGCAAAUCAAUCUUUUUCCAGGUUGACCUCGGAUCAGGUAGGGAUACCCGCUGAACUUAAGCAUAUCAAUAAGCCGGAGGAAUGAAUUUC
rnacentral:misc_RNA from 1 species